GAUCUAUAAGUAUAACCCAAACUUCUCUUUCUCCCGGUCACCUUUGUUUGUCUUAAGUGUUCUUUGUGGGUGAUUGUCUAUAUUGGGGACACACUUUGGUAAGUUAGUAGUAUCCCCACUUUGAGUCAGCAGUAUGGGAAAUGUGAGUUCAGGUCCUGAGUGACCAAUAUAUGUAUGUAUAUAUGUAUGUAUAUAUGUGUGUGUAUAUGUAUAUGUGUAUAUAUAUAAGAUAGCAGUACUUUUAAACAAAUGGAGGUUUUAAAAAUACAUAGGGAUUAAGGAGAGAACGCAGGUAACUUGUUUUUCUUUGGUUUUUACCAUAUAUUGGGGCUGAUGUGUACUGUAGUCCUUGCUGCUGCCCAGUAGUGAUGGGAGUGAGCGCAGGACUUAUCUUUCUGCAAGAUAGCAGUACUGUAUAUUAGAAAAGAAAUGAC
rnacentral:lncRNA from 1 species